rnacentral:rRNA from 1 species
UACAGAGGUCUCGAGCGUUAGUCGGAUUCAUUGGGCUUAAAGCGUGCGUAGGCGGAUGUGCAGGCGUCGUGUGAAAGCCCUCGGCUCAACCGGGGAAUUGCACGGCGAACCGCAUGUCUUGAGACAAGUAGGGGCGGCCGGAACGAUAGGUGGAGUGGUGAAAUGCGUUGAUAUCUAUCGGAACGCCAAAAGUGAAGACAGGCCGCUGGGCUUGUUCUGACGCUGAGGCACGAAAGCGUGGGGAGCAAACGGG